rnacentral:rRNA from 1 species
GACGAACGCUGGCGGCGUGCUUAACACAUGCAAGUCGAACGGAAAGGCCCUGCUUUUGUGUGGUGCUCGAGUGGCGAACGGGUGAGUAACACGUGAGUAACCUGCCCUUGACUUUGGGAUAACUUCAGGAAACUGGGGCUAUUACCGGAUAGGAUCUCCUGCUGCGUGGUGGGGGUUGGAAAGUUUCGGCGGUUGGGGAUGGACUCGCGGCUUAUCAGCUUGAUGGUGGGGUAGUUGCUUACCAAGGCUUUGACGGGUAGCCGGCCUGAGAGGGUGACCGGCCACAUUGGGACUGAGAUACGGACCAGACUCCUACGGGAGGCAGCAGUGGGGAAUAUUGCACAAUGGGCGGAAGCCUGAUGCAGCAACGCCGCGUGCGGGAUGACGGCCUUCGGGUUGUAAACCGCUUUCGCCUGUGACGAAGCGUGAGUGACGGUAAUGGGUAAAGAAGCAACGGCUAACUACGUG